GUUCUGGUUGGUCACACCUGAGGUUUGGAAAGCUCCCCUACACCCAACCCUGAGGUGUGGUGUGAAGCCUGGACAAGAACAGGCAAGUUCGUGCUGAGCUCUGGGCCUGUGUGGGAUGAGCCUGCUCUGGGUUCAUGCCAAGUUGUGCCCUGAAAUGGGAAACCUGGACAAAGGCCUACCAUUUCUGAUUGAAAAGAUCAAAGGACAUCAUUACCGCAAACAUGGUAUUAUUGUCGGCAAAGUGGAUUUGCCUGUUGGAUCUUUCUCACACAGCAGGAAAGUGCACUUCUUGAAGAAAGUCUGAGAUUUGCAGCUUUCCAUGCUCACUUAAGAUGACUUAAGCUUUCUGAGACUAUUUCCAGAUCUAAAAAAGAACUGUCUCGCGGCUAAAAAAUCACACGACGAAAUCAAACUCAAGUCCCAGAGAGGUGGCUGUGUUCAAAAUUUCAAGUCCUGCCAACCAACUUGUAGAAUGUUCAACUAUAACUUUCCAAUGGCCAGAAAAUGGAAUAAUGUUAGUUACAUUUCUAGGAAAUGUCAGAUGAGAUAUUCUGGGAAGUCAACCUGAUGUGCCUAAGCCUGAAUCAAAAACAAUAAAUGGUCCAUUUUUCUCUAGAA